GGGGCAACCCUGAUCCAGCCAUGCCGCGUGUGUGAAGAAGGCCUUCGGGUUGUAAAGCACUUUCAGAGGUGAGGAAAGGUGCGUGGUUAAUACCCGCGUACUGUGACGUUAGCCUCAGAAGAAGCACCGGCUAACUCCGUGCCAGCAGCCGCGGUAAUACGGAGGGUGCGAGCGUUAAUCGGAAUAACUGGGCGUAAAGCGCGCGUAGGUGGUUGAGUCAGUCAGAUGUGAAAGCCCCGGGCUUAACCUGGGAACUGCACCUGAUACUGCUUGACUAGAGUACGGUAGAGGGCAGUGGAAUUUCCUGUGUAGCGGUGAAAUGCGUAGAUAUAGGAAGGAACACCAGUGGCGAAGGCGACUGCCUGGACCGAUACUGACACUGAGGUGCGAAAGCGUGGGUAGCAAACAGGAUUAGAUACCCUGGUAGUCCACGCCGUAAACGAUGUCGACUAGCCGUUGGGAGACUUGAUCUUUUAGUGGCGAAGUUAACGCGAUAAGUCGACC
rnacentral:rRNA from 1 species